CAGCCGCCGCGGGAAUACGAAGGGUGCAAGCGUUAAUCGGAAUUACUGGGCGUAAAGGGCGCGUAGGCGGUUUGCCAAGUUAGAUGUGAAAUUCCCGGGCUUAACCUGGGGACUGCAUUUGAUACUGGCAGGCUUGAGUGUGGAAGAGGGUCGUGGAAUUCCCAGUGUAGAGGUGAAAUUCGUAGAUAUUGGGAAGAACACCGGUGGCGAAGGCGGCGACCUGGUCCAUAACUGACGCUGAGGCGCGAAAGCGUGGGGAGCAGACAGGAUUAGAUACCCCAGUAGUCCCUGUCUCUUAUAC
rnacentral:rRNA from 1 species